rnacentral:lncRNA from 1 species
GUUAAAAUUAAGAAAAAUAUCCUACUUACGUUUGGAUUUCCUUGUCAUGUCUACUUCUCGGAAAAACAACAGACAUUUCGGGUGCAGGUAUGAAUAGUCUGUUGUUUUGGCCCUUUUGGUGGUAUGCGUUUUUCAAAAUGAUACAUGUGUUAUCUGUACUAUGUGAAUAUCCAAGAACCAGUAUAAUUUUUAGCAAAAAAAAGAUUUCAAAGCGAUUAUUUUGUGUUUGUUGAAACCGAUAUUUCAUUUUCUAAUACUUGAUGAUCUACUUUAAAC